CACGUAGGGUGCGAGCGUUGUCCGGAAUUAUUGGGCGUAAAGAGCUCGUAGGCGGUGUGACGCGUCGGCCGUGAAAACCUGCAGCUUAACUGUGGGCUUGCGGUCGAUACGGGCAUCACUGGAGUUCGGCAGGGGAGACUGGAAUUCCUGGUGUAGCGGUGAAAUGCGCAGAUAUCAGGAGGAACACCGGUGGCGAAGGCGGGUCUCUGGGCCGAUACUGACGCUGAGGAGCGAAAGCGUGGGGAGCGAACAGG
rnacentral:rRNA from 1 species